rnacentral:misc_RNA from 1 species
AAAAAACGAGGAGAUUGUGCUUUGCCUGCUAUCUCUUACCAUGUCUUUUGAGUACCUUCGUUUCCUCGGCGGGUCCGCCCGCCGAUUGGACAAUUUAAACCAUUUGCAGUUGCAAUCAGCGUCUGAAAAAACUUAAUAGUUACAACUUUCAACAACGGAUCUCUUGGUUCUGGCAUCGAUGAAGAACGCAGCGAAAUGCGAUAAGUAGUGUGAAUUGCAGAAUUCAGUGAAUCAUCGAAUCUUUGAACGCACAUUGCGCCCCUUGGUAUUCCAUGGGGCAUGCCUGUUCGAGCGUCAUUUGUACCUUCAAGCUUUGCUUGGUGUUGGGUGUUUGUCUCGCCUCUGCGCGUAGACUCGCCUCAAAAAAAUUGGCAGCCGGCGUAUUGAUUUCGGAGCGCAGUACAUCUCGCGCUUUGCACUCAUAACGACGACGUCCAAAAGUACAUUUUUACACUCUUGACCUCGGAUCAGGUAGGGAUACCCGCUGAACUUAAGCAUAUCAAUAAGGCGGAGGAAAAAUCAUUACCUAAGAGUUGUAGGCUAUUGCCUGCUAUCUCUUACCAUGUCUUUUGAGUACCUUCGUUUCCUCGGCGGGUCCGCCCGCCGAUUGUGACAAUUUAAACCAUUUGCAGUUGCAAUCAGCGUCUGAAAAAACUUAAUAGGUUACAACUUUCAACAACGGGAUCUCUUGGAUUCUGGCAUCGAUGAAAGAAAGCAGCGUAAAUGCGAAUAAGAUAGAUGUGAAAUUGCAAAAAAUUCAGUGGAAAUCAUCCAAAUCUAUUUAAAGCACAUUGCGCCCUUUGGGUUAUUUCCAUGGGGGGUCAUGCCUGAUUUCUAGCGGACAUAUUGUUACCUAUCAAGGCUUUUGACUUGGGUGGUUUGGAGUUGUUUUUGUUCUUCGCCUCCUGCGCCGUUAGAAACUCCCCUCAUAAAAAAAAUAUGGUGAGACGUGUGAUAUAUUGUGAAUUAUCCGGCAGCACAGGAUAAUACACUCUUGUGCUGUUGUGCUCACCGUAGAGGUCUACAGCACCUGUCCAAAUGAAGAUACUAAUACUUGUGAUCACUCUUCGUUGUGACACCACCUCGCAUAUACACCGUGUAAGAUGGAGAGAUAUAACCACGCUUCGAAAAACAUUUUCAAUGGACCCGAAUUUCCCACCAUUUGAUUUUGGCGGCGAAUGGGGAAGAAAUAAAAAACCUUUCCCUCUAUGGGG